GGUCCUUUAGCUUAGUGGUAAAGCAUGUGACGUCUACAACGAGUUCGAUAAAGCUGUCAAUGCGGCCUUAUCGAUACUCGCUUGAUGCCGCAAGACAAUCGUUCGAUUCGGUUAGGGAUCA
rnacentral:tRNA from 2 species